rnacentral:rRNA from 2 species
ACGGGAGGCAGCAGUGGGGAAUAUUGCACAAUGGGCGCAAGCCUGAUGCAGCGACGCCGCGUGAGUGAAGAAGUAUUUCGGUAUGUAAAGCUCUAUCAGCAAGGAAGAAAAUGACGGUACUUGACUAAGAAGCUCCGGCUAAAUACGUGCCAGCAGCCGCGGUAAUACGUAUGGAGCAAGCGUUAUCCGGAUUUACUGGGUGUAAAGGGAGCGUAGACGGCAAAGCAAGUCUGAAGUGAAAUCCCGGGGCUCAACCCCGGAACUGCUUUGGAAACUGUUUAGCUAGAGUGCAGGAGAGGUAAGCGGAAUUCCUAGUGUAGCGGUGAAAUGCGUAGAUAUUAGGAGGAACACCAGUGGCGAAGGCGGCUUACUGGACUGUAACUGACGUUGAGGCUCGAAAGCGUGGGGAGCAAACAGGAUUAGAUACCCUGGUA